GACGAACGCUGGCGGCGUGCUUAACACAUGCAAGUCGAACGGAAAGGCCCUGCUUUUGUGGGGUGCUCGAGUGGCGAACGGGUGAGUAACACGUGAGUAACCUGCCCUUGACUUUGGGAUAACUUCAGGAAACUGGGGCUAAUACCGGAUAGGAGUUCCUGCUGCAUGGUGGGGGUUGGAAAGUUUCGGCGGUUGGGGAUGGACUCGCGGCUUAUCAGCUUGUUGGUGGGGUAGUGGCUUACCAAGGCUUUGACGGGUAGCCGGCCUGAGAGGGUGACCGGCCACAUUGGGACUGAGAUACGGCCCAGACUCCUACGGGAGGCAGCAGUGGGGAAUAUUGCACAAUGGGCGGAAGCCUGAUGCAGCAACGCCGCGUGCGGGAUGACGGCCUUCGGGUUGUAAACCGCUGUCGCCUGUGACGAAGCGUGAGUGACGGUAAUGGGUAAAGAAGCACCGGCUAACUACGUG
rnacentral:rRNA from 1 species